UACGGAGGGUGCGAGCGUUGUCCGGAAUCACUGGGCUUAAAGGGUGCGUAGGCGGCGCUGCAAGUGCCUUGUGAAAUCCCAUCGCUUAACGAUGGAACUGCUCGGUAGACUGCAGUGCUUGAGGUUGGUAGGGGCUGCCGGAACUCUAGGUGGAGCGGUGAAAUGCGUAGAUAUCUAGAGGAACGCCCAAGGCGAAGGCAGGCAGCUGGGCCAAUUCUGACGCUGAGGCACGAAAGCGUGGGGAGCAAACGGG
rnacentral:rRNA from 1 species